UACGUAGGGUGCGAGCGUUGUCCGGAAUUACUGGGCGUAAAGAGCUCGUAGGUGGUUUGUCGCGUUGUUCGUGAAAACUCACAGCUUAACUGUGGGCGUGCGGGCGAUACGGGCAGACUGGAGUACUGCAGGGGAGACUGGAAUUCCUGGUGUAGCGGUGGAAUGCGCAGAUAUCAGGAGGAACACCGGUGGCGAAGGCGGUUCUCUGGGCAUUACCUGACGCUGAGGAGCGAAAGUGUGGGGAGGCGAACAGG
rnacentral:rRNA from 1 species